AGCCAUGAAGUGAGCACAAAGCGAAUUAUUCUUUCGCCUUUUACUGAAGAAUACUGUGUGUGCGCUGCUCUUAUAAUGGCAUACGCCAAUUUUUGGAGGGGUUCUCUUUUUUGAGUACC
rfam:Solanum lycopersicum cultivar Heinz 1706 chromosome 3, whole genome shotgun sequence.